rnacentral:rRNA from 1 species
CUCAAGAGAUUGAAAGGAACAAUUGUUUCGCUCGUUGAUGAUCCCGCGUUGUAUUAGCUAGUUGGUGAGGUAACGGCUCACCAAGGCGAUGAUACAUAGCCGACCUGAGAGGGUGAUCGGCCACAUUGGGACUGAGACACGGCCCAAACUCCUACGGGAGGCAGCAGUAGGGAAUCUUCGGCAAUGGACGAAAGUCUGACCGAGCAACGCCGCGUGAGUGAAGAAGGUUUUCGGAUCGUAAAGCUCUGUUGUUGUUAAAGAACGUUGAUGAGAGUGGAAAGUUCAUCAAGUGACGGUAAACAACCAGAAAGGGACGGCUAACUACGUGCCAGCAGCCGCGGUAAUACGUAGGUCCCGAGCGUUGUCCGGAUUUAUUGGGCGUAAAGCGAGCGCAGGUGGUUUCUUAAGUCUGGUGUCAAAGGCUACUGCUCAACAGUAGUGUGCAUUGGAAACUGGGAGACUUGAGUGCAGGAGAGGAGAGUGGAAUUCCAUGUGUAGCGGUGAAAUGCGUAGAUAUAUGGAGGAACACCGGAGGCGAAAGCGGCUCUCUGGCCUGUAACUGACACUGAGGCUCGAAAGC